UACGAAGGGGGCUAGCGUUGCUCGGAAUCACUGGGCGUAAAGCGCACGUAGGCGGAUCUUUAAGUCAGGGGUGAAAUCCCGGAGCUCAACUCCAGAACUGCCUUUGAUACUGAGGGUCUCGAGUUCGGGAGAGGUGAGUGGAACUGCGAGUGUAGAGGUGAAAUUCGUAGAUAUUCGCAAGAACACCAGUGGCGAAGGCGGCUCGCUGGGCCGAUGCUGACGCUGAGGCGCGAAAGCGUGGGGAGCAAACAGG
rnacentral:rRNA from 1 species